rnacentral:rRNA from 1 species
UGGGGAAUAUUGCACAAUGGUCGCAAGCCUGAUGCAGCCAUGCCGCGUGUAUGAAGAAGGCCUUCGGGUUGUAAAGUACUUUCAGCGGGGAGGAAGGGAGUAAAGUUAAUACCUUUGCUCAUUGACGUUACCCGCAGAAGAAGCACCGGCUAACUCCGUGCCAGCAGCCGCGGUAAUACGGAGGGUGCAAGCGUUAAUCGGAAUUACUGGGCGUAAAGCGCACGCAGGCGGAUUGUUAAGUCAGAUGUGAAAUCCCCGGGCUCAACCUGGGAACUGCAUCUGAUACUGGCAAGCUUGAGUCUCGUAGAGGGGGGUAGAAUUCCAGGUGUGGCGGUGAAAUGCGUGGAGAUCUGGAGGAAUACCGGUGGCGAAGGCGGCCCCCUGGACGAAGACUGACGCUCAGGUGCGAAAGCGUGGGGAGCAAACAGG